UACGUAGGGGGCAAGCGUUGUCCGGAAUUAUUGGGCGUAAAGCGCGCGCAGGCGGUUAUUUAAGUCUGGUGUUUAAACCUUGGGCUCAACCUGAGGUCGCACUGGAAACUGGGUGACUUGAGUACCGAAGAGGAAAGUGGAAUUCCACGUGUAGCGGUGAAAUGCGUAGAUAUGUGGAGGAACACCAGUGGCGAAGGCGACUUUCUGGGCUGUAACUGACGCUGAGGCGCGAAAGCGUGGGGAGCAAACAGG
rnacentral:rRNA from 1 species